CAACUUCACACUGAUGAGCUUGCAGUAUCAGGCCAGCUUUUCCUUAUUGCCCUUUGAGAAAAUAGUGUCAGAUUGGAACAAACUCAGAGCAAAGUGGGAAUGAUCUGACAUGAAGAAAAACAUGGGGCUUAACCUGUAGGAAAGGAGAAUUAGGUUGUCCAUUAAGAAACAUUUCACGUCUAAGGUGACUGAAUCUUUGCUGGUGAAACUAUAUUUUGCGAGGUAAAGUUCUAACAGCUUUGCAGGAGCCUCCAAGAGUUUUUGUCAGCUGUACAGAGGGGAUGAGGCUCCUCCUAAAGGGGAUUAUCUGGACCAGAAAAAACCUGUUCUUUAUUCUGAGAUUUAAUGGGUCCUAUUUUCAAGGUGUGAUGUCACUGAAUGUAAGCACUGGAGCACAGAUCUUACCUAUUCGAUUGCAAUUAAAUAGUGCAGGGAUGGAGUGCAUCUGAAAAAAACAUCUCCAGUGCUUUUCUCCUAAACUUUGGAAACUGAUUGUCACUUUGAAUUUGAUUGUGAGAGGUGGAUGGAGACACAAACACUGAGAAAUUUUAAAUCCAUUUUUGUCUUUUGUGAGCCUUUGUAUUAAUAAUUUGUAGAAAAGAAAUUUAUUCCAGACUCAAUUUUUAUCUAUCAUACCUAUACAUUUAUAUGCAUUUAUAAAUAGAAUACUAUUGUUCCAGCAUUAAAUUAAUAUUGAAAUAUAAGACUGUAUUAAGUAAAUGAAUAGUAUUUUUUCCCAGAUUGUAUUGUCACAUAUCCAUUAGCACUGAUUUUGAUAGUAAGUGCUUGGAGGAGGAAAACACUCCUGUUUGGAGCUGAUGAAUGUUCCACGUUGCAAAACGGGCAUUGCUGAAUGAAAGGAGGCUUUCCCCUCUGUGACCAGAUAGAAAAUUCUGCCUUCAUGAGAAAAUGUUGGUUAUUUUAUUUCUCCUGAAAAGAGGUACAACUCCACCAAUUCAUCCUGGUAAGUGUUGGCAGGAAGACUCAGACCUCAAUUUUGAAUCCUUUUGUUUCAGUGAAAUGGGAAACAAUAGUUUUAAUGACAAUAUUAUAAAAACCCUGAACAUCCACUAAAAAACCUAGCUUUUAGUAAAACUAAAAGUCAGUAGCUAACUGAAGAAGUAUAGUGCAGUAGGCAGCAUGAAGUAGCAGUGUGCAUAAAAGGGUGCAGAUGAUGAAAAAUUUAUAAAUGCUGUUUAUAAGGGUAUGUACUGAAGUAUUCAGUAUGAUGUAAUGGAUUUCAGUAAUGGCAUAGAAGUGACUGAAUUAAAGAGCUUCCUGAUCAUUGAUCAAUUCCCAAUUCCCACACCACCUGUAUGAAGUGGGUCUCUGUGGCUGCCUUGUUACCAGGCUGCACUGUGGUACCUUUGUGGACAUGCAUGGACCUCACAGCUGUACACACGGGAAACAGCACAUGAUUUGUUUUUUGUCAUUGAAAUAGUAACAUUCACUAUGCUGAUACAGAAUUAAUCUUCUUCAUAUUGUGAAACA
rnacentral:lncRNA from 1 species